GACAGAGGAUGCAAGCGUUAUCCGGAAUGAUUGGGCGUAAAGCGUCUGUAGGUGGUUUAUUAAGUCUACUGUUAAAGAUCAGGGCUUAACCCUGAGCAGGCAAUAGAAACUAAUAAGCUAGAGUACGGUAGGGGUAGAGGGAAUUCCCGGUGUAGCGGUGAAAUGCGUAGAGAUCGGGAAGAACAUCGGUGGCGAAAGCGCUCUACUGGACCGCAACUGACACUCAGGGACGAAAGCUAGGGGAGCGAAUGGG
rnacentral:rRNA from 1 species